ensembl:lncRNA
CUCUCUCUUUCUCUUUCUCUCUCUCUCUCUCUCUCUCUCUCUCUUUCUAUCUCUCUCCCUCUCUCUCUCUCUCUCUCUCUCUCUCUCUCUCUCUCUCUCUCUCUCUCUCUCUUUCUAUUCCUCUCCCUCCCUCUCUCUCUCUCUUGCUGAAUCUCUCUCCCUCUGUCUCUCAGUAUUCUCUUUCUCUUCUGUCGCUGUCUAUAUUCUCUCUCUUUCUCUCUCUCUAUAUGUAGUCUCUGUCUCCCUUUCUCAUUCUCUUUGUAUCUCUGAGUCUCUCUGUGAUGUAACGGCCCGCUGCUCUCCUUUUGUUUCUACACAUCCGCAGAGAACACAAAAACAGCCUCUGUUUGUCUCCUACUGUGUGCGUGUAUGUGUUGUGAGUGUGUGUGUGUGUGUUUGUGAACAUUCACAAUGUGCAUACGUUUUUGUGUGAUAUGUGCCUGCUGUUUGUGUGUGCCUGUGUAUAUGUCUGCCUGUUGUGUGCGUGCGCUUGUGUGUGUGUGUGUGUGUGUGUGUGCCUGUGUGUGCCUGUGUGUGGGUGCCUGUGUGUAUGUGUGCCUGUGUGUGUGCGUUUGCCUGUGUGUGCGUUUGCCUGUGUGUGUGUGUAUGUGCCUCUGUGUCUGUGCCUCUGUGUGUGUGUGCGCCUGUGUGUGUGUGUGUGUGUGUGCGCCUGUGUGUGUGUGCCUGUGUGUGUGCCUGUGUGUGUGUGUGCCUGUGUGCGUGUGUGUGUGGGCCUGUGUGUGCAGCAGUUCCCUGCCCAUGUGAGAUUGCUCCUUUCCUUCCUCCCUCCUUUCCUUCCUCCAUCCCUCCUGCUGGUGUCUGUGUCUGUGUUGUAGAAUAGUGAGAGGAGGAGAGCAGAGGAGCAGAGAACAGAGGCAGAGUUCCAUGGAGACCUGGGUGGUGGGGGGUUGUGCCUGGGAUUGUGUCUGUGUAUCUCUACUGCUCUCUGAUUAGGCUGCUCAGUCUGCUAAAUUAGCAUCGCACAGACCCACCAGCCUCCCUCUCUCUCUCUCUCUCUCACUCUCUCUUUCUCUCUCUCUCUAUCCCUCUGUCCUCUCUCUCUCUCUCUCUCCCCCUCUCACUCUCUCUCUCUCCCUAUUUCUCUCUCUCUAUCCCUCUGUCUUUCUCCUCUCCCCCUCCCUCUCUCUCUCUCUCUCUCUCUCUCUCCCUCUUUCUCUCUCUCUCCCUUUCUCUCUCUCUCUCUCUCUCUCUAUUUCUCUCUCUCUCUCUCACUCUCUCUUUCUCUCUCUCUCUAUCCCUCUGUCUUCCUCCUCUCUCUCUCUCUCUCCCCCCUCUCACUCUCUCUCUCUCUCCCUAUUUCUCUCUCUCUAUCCCUCUGUCUUUCUCCUCUCCCCCUCUCUCUCUCUCUCUCUCUCUCUCUCUCCCUCUUUCUCUCUCUCUCCCCUCUCUUUCUCUCUCUCUCUCUCUCUGUCUCUGUUCUUCUAUACGUGGGAGGGGAAGAGAGGAGGGAGGGGGAUAGGAUACAGGGACAGGAAAGGAGAAAAGAGAGAGAGGGAGGGAGAGGGAGGAGAGAUGGAGGGAGAGGGGAGGAGAGAUGGAGGGAGUGAGGUGAAGAAGAGAGAGAUGGAGGGAGUGAGGGGAAGGCAGGGGGUGAAGAGAGAAGAGGAGAAGAGAGUGAUGGAGGGAGGGAGUGAGGGGAAGGCAGGGGGAGAAGAGAGAGAUGGAGGGAGUGAGGCGAAGGCAGGGGGUGAAGAGAGAGAUGGAGGGAGUGAGGGGAAGGCAGGGGGAGAAGUGAGAGAUGGAGGGAGUGAGGGGAAGGCAGAGGUGGGCGUGAUGCUUUUUUGAUCAGCAGCCAGAUUUUCACCCUUGUCUGUCAGUCUACACAGAGGAGAGGAGAGAGGGAUGGGGAGAAUAGAGGAGGGAGGGAAGGAGGGGGAGAAUAGAGGAGGGAGGGAGGGAGGGGGAGAAUAGAGGAGGGAGAGGAGAGGGGUGAGGAGAGAGGAGAUGAGAGAGGAGAGGAGAGAGGAGAUGAGAGAGGAGAUGAGAGAGAGGCUGCUGCUUCAAUGCACCGCUGCUCCCUGCUGAAUGUCAGUACCCCUCUCUCUCCCCUCCCCCUUCCCUCCAUCAUUGACCUUCCUCCAGAGUGCAGUGUGGCGUUACCGCCACCAGGUGGCGCCUCCCAUAAAGAAAACUGCAACCUUGGAAAUCCAACCAAAACAGGAAGAGUGGGCUGCUAAUGUGAUCACACUCCCACUUUCAGUCAUAACAAUGCACAGCGUGGCUGACUAACGUUUUCCGAGAGGUGCAGUGUGAGAGGUAGCUAGUGGGAUAAAGUGUAGGAUGAUUUGCCAUUUUGUCAAGGUCAUUCAUAGGACUCCUGUGCAGUCAUUUAAAAUGAACAAAUGUAGCAGAUGACAUCUUAAUAUGCAUAGGGCUUCAUCCCAAAUGGCACACUAUUAAGUAGAGCACUUCUUUUGACCGGGGCCCUAUAUGGAUGUUAAUGGGCAACAUACAUUCCAGUAACAUUCUGGUUCCUUUGCAUAGAAUGUGUUUGUUGUAGAUUAGAACAUUGGGUGCCGACAUGGAUGAGACUCAGCUGAACUCUGUCAACCCAGUUGGAGCUGGAUUCCUAUCCUAUGUCUGCUAGCCUUUCAGCUUGGUGCUGAACACUCUAUUAGUCUGUGUUUAGUGAUGGGAGGGAAUCGACAGGCUGACCUCCAGCCCUGCAGAAGGCUGUGUGAGACCAAUCAGUGUUCGGUGUUCAGGUGGCGUUAACAGUGGUGUUAGUGGACUGGCCAGUCAAUAGUGCUCAGCGCCAGGCAGAGGUGCCUGAUAGGCUGUUGCCACGGGAGAUGCAGAGACACACGACCUUGGUUACACAAAUCCUCUGUCUCUGUCUGUCUCUCUCUGUCCAUUUAUUUGUGUGUGUCUGUCUGUUAUUGUGUGUGUGUUACUGUCUUUCUCACUCUCUUUUUCCUUACUCUCUGUCACUGUCACUAUAUGUCAUUCUCUGUAUGUCUGUCUCUGUCACUAUAUGUCAUUCUCUGUAUGUCU